rfam:Otolemur garnettii contig025008, whole genome shotgun sequence.
CUGCCUGUGGCUCAAAGGAGUAGGGCACUGGCCUGAUAUGCCAGAGGUAGCAGGUUCAAACCCAGCCUGGCCAA